AUUGAACGCUGGCGGCGUGCUUUACACAUGCAAGUCGAGCGGCAGCAUGACCUUCGGGUCGAUGGCGAGCGGCGAACGGGUGAGUAAUACAUCGGAACGUACCUUUUAGUGGUGGAUAACGCAUCGAAAGAUGUGCUAAUACAGCAUAAUCUCUGAGGAGGAAAGGCGGGGAUCACGCAAGUGACCUGUCGCUGAAAGAGCGGCCGAUGGUCGAUUAGCUAGUUGGCGGGGUAAAAGCCCACCAAGGCGAUGAUCGAUAGCGGGUCUGAGAGGACGAUCCGUCACACUGGGACUGAGACACGGCCCAGACUCCUACGGGAGGCAGCAGUGGGGAAUUUUGGACAAUGGGGGCAACCCUGAUCCAGCAACGCCGCGUGAAUGAAGAAGGCCUUAGGUUGUAAAGUUCUUUUGUCAGGGAAGAAAGUUUCUGUGCUAAUACCAUAGAACGAUGACGGUACCUGAAGAAUAAGCACCGGCUAACUACGUG
rnacentral:rRNA from 1 species